rnacentral:rRNA from 1 species
UACGGGGGGGGCAAGCGUUGUUCGGAAUUACUGGGCGUAAAGGGCUCGUAGGUGGCCAACUAAGUCGGACGUGAAAUCCCUCAGCUUAACUGGGGAACUGCGUCCGAUACUGGAUGGCUUGAGUUCGGGAGAGGGAUGCGGAAUUCCAGGUGUAGCGGUGAAAUGCGUAGAUAUCUGGAGGAACACCGGUGGCGAAGGCGGCAUCCUGGACCAACACUGACGCUGAGGAGCGAAAGCCAGGGGAGCAAACGGG